UUUCUCGAGACUCCCUAUAUUUGUUCUUCAGACAAAAAUUACUGGUGGUAAUUUUCCAGAAGUUCUUGAGAUUUACAGGGAAAUAGCUUCCAGGCAAGGCCUCUGAGAGUGGCUCACUUAGGUGUCACAGGCUAAGAUCAUCUGGGACCUUUAGGCCUCAGCCCACCCAGCAGAGAUGCUACAGAGGAAGCCCGGAGAAGGGACACAAAACACGAAUUGCAAGGCAGCGGGGAAGGCUUCCUAGAGAAAGUGGUUUGGUCCCAAACUGAAUCUCGAGGGAGGUGAGGCGUUGCCGCGGGCAAAGGGCAAGAGCAGGACACGCAAAGGACACGGCAUGGGGCAAAGGCACGAGAAGGAGCCCCGCUUCUCUGGCCACCCAUACGUUGUUCAGCGCGACGAGGACAAACACUGCUGCAGAGGAAUGAGCCCUGCUCAGCCAAAGAUUCCCAACCCCAGAAAUGAGGCACCUGGAGAUCUCCAAGUCACCACCUCUGUGACCAGGCCACGUUCUGGGUGCUACCGAUGACCGAAAGGAAAACAGAGUUGUAAAACAGAAGUCAUACAACAGGGCUUCUCAGUCACAGGUGUGCAUAUAGGCCACCUGGGGACCCCACAGGACUUAGGUGGGGCCUGAGAUUCUGCAUUUCUCAUGAGCUCUCACAUGAGGCUGACUGUGGACCACACCUUGAGAAGCCCUUGUCUACAGACUGAGGGAACAGCCAGGAGUUUCGGAAGACGCCCAAAGAAAACCUGAUGCUGACAAUUCCUGAGGUCCGUUGAUUCACCAUAUUUGUUGCAUGUGCACUAGAAAAUGAACCUAUGCAGGCUGCAGUUUUGGAGACAGAAGACUUAAAGAAGAAAGAGACAAGAAAUAAUAUGGCAGUUUAGAAACCUCAAAGGUCUAGG